UCUUUCGGGGAUUUGAAUUUUUCAACCUUAAGACUAAUAGCACAUAUUAACAAGUAAAUAAACAUAAAAAAUGAAUAAGGAAAGAGACUUGGGCCCAAGUAUGGUUUUUCUGUCCGCCUGGACCAGUACUUGGGCCCAUUUUCGUUUUGGGCCUUUGGCCCAAUUUUCACCUGUCCUAAGAACUAACAAGUAAUAAUAAGUAAAAUGGCGAGGGCUUAGGCCCAAUAAUAACAAAAUACAAUUCCGAAUAAAUAAAGGUAGGCUUUGGCCCAAUCUUUUUCAACUCCCAAUUUGCUCCGCUUUUCUUUCAAUUUUGAGACCUGUUCGUCGAUUUUGAUAUCUAGCUGACUCGGAUAAGAGGGGGUAUGGGCCUCCGUGGCCCAAAGGAAAAUGCGAGGAUAGAGUCCAUGAGGACCCGGACAAAUUUCACAUGCAAACACGAAAAUGAGAAUCAAUAAGUAAGAGUUAUGAAUAAUAUAGGAGAAUUUAUUAUAUUCUAAUAUUUGCUACACUACCAUAUACUAAUAUUUAUUACACUACUAUAUUCUAAAAUCUAUUAUACUACCAUAAUCUAAUAUUUAUAUACUACCAAAUUUUGAAUCUAUAGACUACCGUAUUUUAUUAUUU
rnacentral:lncRNA from 1 species